AAACCAGCACCUCAAGUGGUCAGGAUGAUUAUUGGGCCUAAAGCAUCCGUAGCCGGCUCUGUAAGUUUUCGGUUAAAUCUGUACGCUCAACGUACAGGCUGCUGGGAAUACUGCAGAGCUAGGGAGUGAGAGAUGUAGACGGUACUCGGGAGGAAGUGGUAAAAUGCUUUGAUCUCUCGAUGACCACCUGUGGCGAAGGCGGUCUACCAGAACACGUCCGACGGUGAGGGAUGAAAGCUGGGGGAGCAAACCGGAUUAGAAACCCCGGUAGUCCC
rnacentral:rRNA from 1 species